rnacentral:rRNA from 1 species
AGGAAUAUUGGACAAUGGAGGCAACUCUGAUCCAGCCAUGCCGCGUGCAGGAAGACGGCCCUAUGGGUUGUAAACUGCUUUUAUACGGGAAGAAACCCAACUACGU